rnacentral:rRNA from 1 species
AAGACCUUGCGCUUUUGGAGCGGCCGAUGUCUGAUUAGCUAGUUGGUGGGGUAAUGGCCUACCAAAGCUUCGAUCAGUAGCUGGUCUGAGAGGACGGCCAGCCACACUGGGACUGAGACACGGCCCAGACUCCUACGGGAGGCAGCAGUGGGGAAUUUUGGACAAUGGGCGCAAGCCUGAUCCAGCCAUGCCGCGUGAGUGAAGAAGGCCUUCGGGUUGUAAAGCUCUUUCAGCCGGGAAGAAAAGGCUGCGACUAAUAAUCGCAGUUCAUGACGGUACCGGAAGAAGAAGCACCGGCUAACUACGUGCCAGCAGCCGCGGUAAUACGUAGGGUGCGAGCGUUAACCGGAAUUACUGGGCGUAAAGGGUGCGCAGGCGGUUUUGUAAGUCAGAUGUGAAAUCCCCGGGCUUAACCUGGGAACU